rnacentral:piRNA from 1 species
AGCAACGGAACUUGGACCAUCAUGAA